UGGGGGAUAUUGCACAAUGGGCGAAAGCCUGAUGCAGCGACGCCGCGUGGGGGAUGAAGGCCUUCGGGUUGUAAACUUCUUUUGCUCUGAACAAGGCAUGCCUUUGGGGUGUGUUGAGUGUAGGGGUUGAUUAGCGCCGGCUAACUACGUGCCAGCAGCCGCGGUAAUACGUAGGGCGCGAGCGUUGUCCGGAAUUAUUGGGCGUAAAGGGCUUGUAGGUGGCUGGUUGCGUCUGUCGUGAAAGCUCAUGGCUUAACUGUGGGUUGGCGGUGGGUACGGGCUGGCUUGAGUGCAGUAGGGGAGGCUGGAAUUCCUGGUGUAGCGGUGGAAUGCGCAGAUAUCAGGAGGAAUACCGGUGGCGAAGGCGGGUCUCUGGGCUGUUACUGACGCUGAGGAGCGAAAGCGUGGGGAGCGAACAGG
rnacentral:rRNA from 1 species